GGACCUGACUGCUAUCGGAUUGAUACUAAGCCAUGCGAGUCAUUGUAGCAAUACAAGGCAUACGGCUCAGUAACGCGUAGUCAACCUAACCUAUGGACGGGAAUAACCUCGGGAAACUGAGAAUAAUGCCCGAUAGAACAUUAUGCCUGGAAUGGUUUAUGUUCCAAAUGAUUUAUCGCCGUAGGAUGGGACUGCGGCCUAUCAGUUUGUUGGUGAGGUAAUGGCCCACCAAGACUAUUACAGGUACGGGCUCUGAGAGGAGUAGCCCGGAGAUGGGUACUGAGACACGGACCCAGGCCCUAUGGGGCGCAGCAGGCGAGAAAACUUUGCAAUGUGCGAAAGCACGACAAGGUUAAUCCGAGUGGUUUCUGCCAAAGAAACCUUUUGUCAGUCCUAGAAACACUGAUGAAUAAGGGGUGGGCAAGUUCUGGUGU
rnacentral:rRNA from 1 species